CCCUGCAGUCUCAGGAUUGCCCACAGGUGUAUGAAGCCAUCUUAGAAGGACUAAAGGCAUGCAAGAUCUACAGAGAGGUGUGGGGUAUAAAGAAGAAAUGGAACUACUUGGGAAGAGGAAGGGGACCAGUGAGGAACCAGGAGAGUAUAUUUUUGAGAAAACACGAUAAAAGUAGGAGAGAAUGUUCAAACAAAAUGUCAUUGAAAACCAAUUAUCUUCAUGUAAACAGUAAAGGAAGAAGUUAAAAAGGCAACUCAUGUUUAUCAGCUAAUCAUAUAACAUUUUGCAACUAUAUUAUAGAUUAAAUGACCCAU
rnacentral:sRNA from 1 species